rnacentral:rRNA from 1 species
AUUGAACGCUGGCGGCAGGCCUAACACAUGCAAGUCGAACGAGUGGCGGACGGGUGAGUAAUGUCUGGGAAAAUGCCUGAUGGAGGGGGAUAACUACUGGAAACGGUAGCUAAUACCGCAUACCAUCAGAUGUGCCCAGAUGGGAUUAGCUAGUUGGGGGGGUAACGGCUCACCAAGGCGACGAUCCCUAGCUGGUCUGAGAGGAUGACCAGCCACACUGUAACUGAUACACGGUCCAGACUCCAACGAGAGGCAACAGGGGGGAAGAUUGGACAAUGGGGGCAAGCCGGAUGCAGCCAUGCCGGGUGUAUGAAGGAGGCCUUCGGGUUGUAAAGUACUUUCAGCGGGGAGGCGUUACCCGCAGAAGAAGCACCGGCUAACUCCGUGCCAGCCGCCGCGGUAAUAC